AGAAAUAACAGAGAACCAAGCUCCCUCUACGAAAAGGCCCACAAAUGCAGGAACGCAUAAAAGGAUAAACGAAGGCGAAGGACCAUGCUCACAGCUCGGAUUAACUCACAAUAAACAGACGUUCAGCAAGAAUAACCCAGGAAGAGGAAAACAACAAAAGAACGAGUACUCUAUCCCAGUGGAGCUCACAGCUCAAACCACACCGACUACCAGAAGGUUAUCUCAAGAGGAACAAGGUAUUAUAUUCCUGAGCUCGCAACAAUGACGAGAUCGUGAGCCAAAAACAGAAAUGCCCUCAUGAGAAUAAGAAAAACUCGCAAGUCAUAAG
rnacentral:lncRNA from 1 species